CUCACACAGGGCUGAGGUCUCUGGGGAAGGCAGAGCCCUGGUCUAGAAGAUGAGACUGCUGGGUCUUCUCCUGUGCCUGGUGACAGCCCCCCAAGGUGUCCUGUCCCAGGUGCAGCUGCAGGAGUCGGGCCCAGGACUGGUGAAGCCCUCGCAGACCCUCUCCCUCACCUGCGCUGUCUCUGGGGGCUCAGUCACCAGUAGUUACUACUGGAACUGGAUCCGCCAGAAACCAGGGAAGGGGCUGGAGUGGAUGGGGUGCUGGACUGGGAGCACACGGUACAACCCAGCCUUCCAGGGCCGCAUCUCCAUCACUGCUGACACGUCCAAGAACCAGUUCUCCCUGCAGCUGAGCUCUGUGACCACCGAGGACACGGCCGUGUAUUACUGUGCGAGAAACACAGUGAGGGGAAGUCAGUGUGAGCCCAGACACAAACCUCCAGAGGGAGACAAGAAGGAGGGGCUGCAGGGUGCACUCUGA